rnacentral:misc_RNA from 1 species
UGUAGUAUAUGAAGCGGCUGC